AAUAACUAUGUAUACAUCUACAAGAAUAAAAUCCACAGGUAUAAAAGUGCAUAUGGAUAUCAACUUAAUAUGACAUUAAUGAUCAUAUCAAUACCAAGUGUUAACAAUUAUGUUGCAAUUUAUUAAGUUUGAAAAUAAGACUACAAUUAUAUAUGGCGCACCUAAUUGCAAUUUGAGCUCAGAUGCUCAACAGGAGGGUGGGGGAGUUGGAGGGGGCUAGAUCAACUCUGUCUGGACUCAUUUCUCUUCUUUCUCUUGACAAGGUCUCUCAACCCUAAAAAACUCUUGAACAUGAAAAACAUUAAUUCACUUGAGUCCCUUGGAAGUUAACUCCUCAUUGCUUCCAAUGUUCCCAAAAAUUACAACAAAUCUAUACUCAAUCUUAAGAGAAUGAUUCUUGAAGGCCAGGUUUAUAAUCACAGGUCGGUAGUAGCAUUUCUGGGCAAUUGAUUGUCUAAAUUUUGAAUAGAACUGAAACAUUCCAAUUCCAUACUUAGAAUUCCCAAGGAAACUAAUUAUAUGUGGAAAAUCAUGAUUUUCUUCUCUCUUCCAAUUUAUUAUCUGAUAUUUUUAUUAAUUGGUAAGUACAAUUUAUUUCAGCUUUUUA
rnacentral:lncRNA from 1 species